rnacentral:rRNA from 1 species
AACGAACGCUGGCGGCGCGCCUAAUACAUGCAAGUCGAGCGAGAAGACGUAGCAAUACGUUUGUAAAGCGGCGAACGGGUGAGGAAUACAUGGGUAACCUACCCUCGAGUGGGGAAUAACUAGCCGAAAGGUUAGCUAAUACCGCGUACGCUCCUUGGACUUCGGUUCAGGGAGGAAAGCGAUACCGUGGGUAUCGCGCUCUUGGAUGGGCUCAUGUCCUAUCAGCUUGUUGGUGAGGUAACGGCUCACCAAGGCUUCGACGGGUAGCUGGUCUGAGAGGACGAUCAGCCACACUGGCACCUGCGACACGGGCCAGACUCCAACGGGAGGCAGCAGUAAGGAAUAUUGCGCAAUGGGCGAAAGCCUGACGCAGCGACGCCGCGUGGGGGAUGAAGGUCUUCGGAUUGUAAACCCCUUUCGGGAGGGAAGAUGGAACGAGCAAUCGUUCGGACGGUACCUCCAGAAGCAGCCACGGCUAACUUCGUGCCACGCCGCCGCCGUAA